rnacentral:rRNA from 1 species
GGGUGAGUAAUGCCUAGGAAUCUGCCUAGUAGUGGGGGAUAACGUCCGGAAACGGGCGCUAAUACCGCAUACGUCCUACGGGAGAAAGUGGGGGAUCUUCGGACCUCACGCUAUUAGAUGAGCCUAGGUCGGAUUAGCUAGUUGGUGAGGUAAUGGCUCACCAAGGCUACGAUCCGUAACUGGUCUGAGAGGAUGAUCAGUCACACUGGAACUGAGACACGGUCCAGACUCCUACGGGAGGCAGCAGUGGGGAAUAUUGGACAAUGGGCGAAAGCCUGAUCCAGCCAUGCCGCGUGUGUGAAGAAGGUCUUCGGAUUGUAAAGCACUUUAAGUUGGGAGGAAGGGCAGUUACCUAAUACGUGAUUGUUUUGACGUUACCGACAGAAUAAGCACCGGCUAACUCUGUGCCAGCAGCCGCGGUAAUACAGAGGGUGCAAGCGUUAAUCGGAAUUACUGGGCGUAAAGCGCGCGUAGGUGGUUUGUUAAGUUGAAUGUGAAAGCCCCGGGCUCAACCUGGGAACU